CCAAAUAAGACCCCUAACCUCACCCUUAAUCUGUGCACAAGGUUAUCCAACAAGAUUAUCGUCCGAGGCACGAAAUCAUGAAGCAAUAACACUAGAACGAUCCCCACGACAUUGAGUUGAGUUGUUUGAAGAGUAGCUUGGGAGGUAUUAAGGACUCACCAUGGUUAAGGGACGCUGCCUUUUAUGCCUUCAAGUCCCAAUUGAUAGGUUGACAUUCCUCCUAGUAGGCUAUAAGCUCAGUGGAGGUGUUGGUGCACUCCACUUGUUCCGGAGUUGCCUAUUUGGUCAGUAUGCUUUGGAUAUGUAUUGAUUGAUAUGACGGGGCCCUGUCCCGACCUUUAUGAUUUUAUGUACUCUUAAAGGCUUAUUGACAGAUGUCAGGUUUAUGGAUACUUGUAUGGCCUUGUUGGCCUAAGUGUUGAGUUUACAAAUGGUCAUGUCGUCCUUAUAGGUCUGUAUGUCACAUGUAUGAGUUUCUACAUCAUAUUGGGUUGUCCUAUGUCUAGUAUUCCUUUAUGUUUAUUCUGGUUAUCUCAUGACGACCCUUUUGGCCCAUUUAUCCAUGAUAGUAUUAUAAGAAAUUAAAAGUUACGUUGGUACUCGGUUGAGUAAGGUACCGGGUGCCCGUCAUGGCCCUCCUAUUUUGGUCGUGACAAAAAUACCGAAAAUUUAAAAAUCAUAUAGGAGACUAGGAGUGUAGACUGGCCAGCGCCCCAGCCCAAGUGCUGACCCAAAAGCUAAAAUUUUAAUUUUUGGAGCCCAACCCAAUAACCCAAAAGUCUUUCACUUUCUUAAUUCAUACCCUAAGUCCUAACAUCUGAGAAACCUAAGAACUAAGAAGUAAAAACGACUGAGAGAGUGAGAAACCUAAGUAUGAACAAACGACUCGCAUGUGAGAUCACUGUCCGUCGUCUGCUGUCGCCACUCACCAGUGAGAUUGCCAGAUUGGCUGUCCGGCGUCCGCUCUCUGCUGUCAACUCUUCAAAUCAAGACUUCAAUAGGUUCAUAACUUUUCAAUUUUUUAUUCUUCAAUCUUCAUUUUUCUAAUUUGUCUCGAGAAACUCUCAUUUUAUGAUCUAAGUUUUGAAGUUUAGAUAGAACUAAUGUCCAUUUUCUCGGAUGCUCUGCGAAGUUUUGAAGUUUUGUAUUAUCGAUUUUUUUAUUGCUUUGAGGUGGCUGUGUUUUUUUUUGCUCUGUGAGUGGAACAGAUGAGCUCAUCCAUGCUCUUUCUCCAAGAUAUGCUUCUAGUAGUAUAUUAUAGUUCUAUCUUGCGUUCGAGGGAAUUUAGAUAUUUAGUAAUUGGAAGACUUGGAGGAUUUUAUGAUGUUGAUUAGUAAUGAAAUUGAUUUUCUCUGUUUGUGACUCGUCUCUGUGGACGCUUGCUGAAGUUACUUGUUACUAUGAAUUAGUUGGUGAUGUAUUAAGGGAAAAUUAAUUGUAAUUUGAGAUUUUUGUUAAAAAUGAUCAAUUUGUUUGU